CCCCUUAGAUGUUCUGGGCCGCACGCGUGCUACACUGAACGGAUCAACGGGUGAGAUACUGCGAAAGCAGAAUCCAAUCUCUAAAUCCGUUCGUGCUGGGGAUAGAAGCUUGCAAUUCUCCUUCUUGAACGAGGAAUACCUUGUAAGCGUGAGUCAUCAUCUCGCGCUGAAUACGUCCCUGCCCUUUGUACACACCGCCCGUCGCUCCUACCGAUUGAGUGGUCCGGUGAGGCUUUGGGAGGGUUGAACGGAAUGUGGUUUUUCACGAUCUGUUUGGCCUAAACUUAGUCAAACCUUACUACUUAGAGGAAGGAGAAGUCGUAACA
rnacentral:rRNA from 1 species